GGAGUGUGCGGGCGGGGGUGUGGGGUAUUACGGGGGGGGGGAGCGUGGUCCGGAGGUAUUGGGCGGAAAGAGCUUGUAGGCGGUUUGUGGAGUCGGCUGUGAAAAUCCGGGGCGCAACCCCGGACUUGCAGGGGGUACGGGCAGACUAGAGGAUGGUAGGGGAGACUGGAAUUCCUGGUGUAGCGGUGAAAUGCGCAGAUAUCAGGAGGAACACCGAUGGCGAAGGCAGGUCUCUGGGCCACUACUGACGCUGAGAAGCGAAAGCAUGGGGAGCGAACAGGAUUAGAUACCCCAGUAGUC
rnacentral:rRNA from 1 species